CCUACGGGAGGCAGCAGUGGGGAAUAUUGCACAAUGGUCGAAACCCUGAUGCAGCGACGCCGCGUGAGUGAAGCAGUAAUUCUUUAUGUAAAGCUCUAUCAGCAGGGAAGUAAAUGACGGUACCUGAGUAAUAAGCCCCGGCUAACUACGUGCCAGCAGCCGCGGUAAUACGUAGGGGGCCAGCGUUAUCCGGAUUUACUGGGUGUAAAGGGAGCGUAGACGGCAUUGCAAGUCUGGAGUGAAAGGCGGGGGCUCAACCCCAGGACUGGUCUGGAAACGGUACGGUUGGAGUGCAGGAGAGGUAAGUGGAAUUCCUAGUGUAGCGGUGAAAUGCGUAGAUAUUAGGAGGAACACCAGUGGCGAAGGCAGCUUACUGGACUGUAACUGACGUUGAGGCUCGAAAGCGUGGGGAGCAAACAGGAUUAGAUACCCCUGUAGUC
rnacentral:rRNA from 1 species